AGUGAACGCUGGCGGUAGGCCUAACACAUGCAAGUCGAACGGCAGCACAGUAAGAGCUUGCUCUUACGGGUGGCGAGUGGCGGACGGGUGAGGAAUACAUCGGAAUCUACUUUUUCGUGGGGGAUAACGUAGGGAAACUUACGCUAAUACCGCAUACGACCUACGGGUGAAAGCAGGGGAUCUUCGGACCUUGCGCGAUUGAAUGAGCCGAUGUCGGAUUAGCUAGUUGGCGGGGUAAAGGCCCACCAAGGCGACGAUCCGUAGCUGGUCUGAGAGGAUGGUCAGCCACACUGGAACUGAGACACGGUCCAGACUCCUACGGGAGGCAGCAGUGGGGAAUAUUGGACAAUGGGCGCAAGCCUGAUCCAGCCAUACCGCGUGGGUGAAGAAGGCCUUCGGGUUGUAAAGCCCUUUUGUUGGGAAAGAAAAGCAGCAGGUUAAUACCCGGCUGUUCUGACGGUACCCAAAGAAUAAGCACCGGCUAACUUCGUG
rnacentral:rRNA from 1 species